GACGAACGCUGGCGGCGUGCCUAACACAUGCAAGUCGAGCGAAUGAAAUUCCUUCGGGAACGGAUUUAGCGGCGGACGGGUGAGUAACACGUGGGCAGCCUGCCUCAUAGAGGGGAAUAGCCUUCCGAAAGGGAGAUUAAUACCGCAUAAGAUUGUAGUACCGCAUGGUACAGCAAUUAAAGGAGCAAUCCGCUAUGAGAUGGGCCCGCGGCGCAUUAGCUAGUUGGUGAGGUAACGGCUCACCAAGGCGACGAUGCGUAGCCGACCUGAGAGGGUGAUCGGCCACAUUGGGACUGAGACACGGCCCAGACUCCUACGGGAGGCAGCAGUGGGGAAUAUUGCACAAUGGGGGAAACCCUGAUGCAGCAACGCCGCGUGAGUGAUGACGGCCUUCGGGUUGUAAAGCUCUGUCUUCAGGGACGAUAAUGACGGUACCUGAGGAGGAAGCCACGGCUAACUACGUGCCAGCGCCGCCGUAACAC
rnacentral:rRNA from 1 species